rnacentral:rRNA from 1 species
UCGAGAAUCUUCGGCAAUGCACGAAAGUGUGACCGAGCGACGCCGCGUGAUUGAUGAAGCCCCUCGGGGUGUAAAGAUCUUUUAUGCAUGAAGAAAUUAUUGACAUUAGUGCAUGAAUAAGGGGCUCCUAACUCUGUGCCAGCAGGAGCGGUAAUACAGAGGCCCCGAGCGUUAUCCGGAAUUAUUGGGCGUAAAGGGUGCGUAGGUGGUUUUAUUAGUCGACUGUGAAAGAUCUGGGCUCAACCCAGGGAACGCAAUCGAAACGGUAAGACUUGAGUAUGUGAGAGGUGAACGGAACUCAUGGAGUAGGGGUGAAAUCCGUUGAUAUCAUGGGGAACACCAAAUGCGAAGGCAGUUCACUGGCACAUUACUGACACUGAGUGCACGAAAGCGUGGGUAG